UCUCACGUUACCUUGAGCGGUGGUCUUUCAGAUAUUUUAUUGAGUCUCCUCUCGCGCGAAGACUCGAGACGAGUGUGGUGCCACCGGUUGGCCGCCGUAUAUGCCUAUAAAAGGGGUCUUCUCCUUCGUGGCGGUCGCUGCCUCGCCUCCUCGAUCGCCUCCUCGCCCUACUGUCCCAUCUACCCUAGCCUUUCAACUCCGAUCUUUUGUCCGUGUGGAGCUGGUGGCAGGCGUACGGCCAAGGAGACGAAGCAACGGCGGCGUGCCACCGCCACCUCCGAUGCACAGCAGCCACGGCACCACCGGCACAAGAUUCGCUUGGGGAGCACAGCCGUCGAGCAAGAGAGGCCCACCGGCCAUGGCCGACCGGACAGAUUAGAGGCGAGGUAGAUUCUGCCGGCAAGGCCCUCUUCCUUUUCUCAUGUUCUGCGUGAUCUGAGGCGGGAGGCGCUGAAUCCUUCCCGAUUGGCCUUCUUCCUCCUCGAUUUGGCCCUUCUUUCCGGCCUCCGCUCAUCUCCGGCCCGUUAUCGUUCGGUUCCCGUGACCCGUCCACCCAUGGAAGACCGCGGCCCCGCAUCCUCUGAACGUCGCAAUUCUUCUCCACGAAGAUUGUGCCCUUCAUAGUCCGACGGGGCUUCGUGCUCUUCCUGCACGAGGAAAAUAGCAUAUGGUGUCGUCCAUGGCGUCGUCGCUAACUCUAGCACGUCAGAGAUGACGGGCCACCUGACAACGAGCUCAAUUGCUCUGAACUUCAGCCUGCAUUGCUUGUACCUUUUUAUUCAGAUGUCCAAUUCUUAUUUUCUGAUGUGUUGUGUGAAGGUUUAUGGCGAGGAGAGGAGAAGUGGUCGUUCGGGUUCUGCGAGAAUGGCAUGUGUGCAGUUUUGAUUGAUACUUUAUGAAAGAAUAUGUUGGCGGACAUGGCAAUACAGUUUCAUAUCAAAAACCACUCCAAUUGAAGUAUUUGUGGUUCAUGUACACUAUUGUUUGAUAAAUUGGUGGCAAAUAGCUGUGUGAGCUUCAUUUGGUCAGGUUGUUUCGACUGCAUGAUGCAUGAGACAUGGAUUCCUAAGGAUUGUUCAAGUGCAUUCAGUGUUAACGGAUGGAACACAGAUUAGCCUUGGCCACAAUGAGCAGAAGGAGUACAAUAUGGGUGACUGCAGGUACGUCCCCAGGGACACCGCUACGUGACUGUUGAAGGAAUCACAGUUGUGCUGGAAGGUCCUGCCUUCCUGCUUGCUGUGUCUGCCUUCUCAUCUUAUUUUAUGAUCGUUUAUGUGAAGAAGCAGCAGCAACUUGAUUUGUUUUCUUGCGUAGUAAUAUGUGAGCUGCAUUUGCAGACAUAUAUGGGUCAAGUCACUCUUUGUUAGUUAGAUGUUGUUAGUGUUUUUCUAUCAGACAUGGUUCUGCAAUGGGGUUGACUGCCUAAGGCUCACUCAGAUUUUGGACUUGCUUAAUAACUGCUUCCUUUCAUUAAGAUG